AUUGAACGCUGGCGGCAGGCCUAACACAUGCAAGUCGAGCGCGUGGCGCGCGGGUGAGUUGUAUCUGGGACACUCCCUGAGGGAGGGGUAUAACUUGUAGACAGGGUAGCUUAUACCGCAUACCCUGAGAUGUGCCCAUAGGGGUUUCGCUAGUGGGUGGGGUAACGGCUCACCAAGGCGACGAUCCCUAGCUGGUCUGAGAGGAUGACCAGCCACACUGGAACUGAGACACGGCCCAGACUCCUACGGGAGGCAGCAGUGGGGAAUAUUGCACAAUGGGCGCAAGCCUGAUGCAGCCAUGCCGCGUGUAUGAAGAAGGCCUUCGGGUUGUAAAGUACUUUCAGUGGGGAGGCGUUACCCGCAGAAGAAGCACCGGCUAACUCCGUGCCAGCAGCCGCGGUAAUAC
rnacentral:rRNA from 1 species